AGAUUUCCCCAGCUCAUGGUGGAGAUGGACACAUCCAAAACUCUGAUCUGAGAUGAGUCUCCUUGGUAUCUGAAGGAUGUCCUUCCUCUCUGGGUCUAGAACUCUGGAGUGACAGCUCUUUUCUUCCAGCACCGUAAACACGUUGCUCCCUUGUCUUCUGGAGCCCAUCAUUUCUGCUGAAAAAUAAUCUUAUUGUCCCCUUGAAGGAUGGUCCCUGAAACGUAAGGGACCCGACAGCCACCACGGCGAGGAAGGCGCAGAAGGGGCAGCACGGAGCCGUGAGCCACAGAGAUGCUGCAGCCUGGACCAGCCAUCAUCAGACAGGCGUGUGCCGUCAGCGCUCAACGUGUGAGAAAGCACAGAGCCAGGCCCUUCCCAAGACCCCACUAUGAACCCGAUUGCUUCGGCCUGGCUGCCUUCCUCCAAAGGGGUGCAGGCGGGGCCCACGGGACCCCAGUUCUCUAGUCUCGCCUGACUCUAGGCAGAACUCUAGUGGCUCUGAUCUCUGGGCAGAACUGACUCAAGAGCCACUGAAGAGACCUUCGCCUGGGGUCCUAGACUGGGCUGCAAGGAGUCUUUGAAUCUCUUGAGAUUGUGCACUAAGUAUUUACCUGCACGCAUUUUUC
rnacentral:lncRNA from 1 species